CGUUGCUUCAACAACCACUCCAACUCCAGCUGGCCGGAGGGCUUCUGUGACUGCUACAGCAAUUUGUUUUACUUUUUCCUGCCUGCUUCAUCAGUGCAAUCACAGAACCAGAGAAUUUGAGAAUUGGGAGGGUUCAUAGAGACCAUCAAAUCACACCCAUUCCAAAAGGGAAUCUCCACCCACCCACCUGAUAACCCUUACUUCUGGAACCCAAGCUUUGUAUUUGGGCCAACCUCCACACCCUUCUGAAAGGAAAAGUGGCCCUUGUUUGGUCCUGACUUUUAUUAUCUGGGGUCCUGCUGCUGUUUCUUCUGAGAUCUGAGCACCGUGUUCUUCAAAGACCUCAGGAGCAGCUCAGACCAAAACAGCAUUUUUUAAACCUAACCAGCGGAAAGAUUAGCAAGAAAUCUGAUGCAGAAGGUAAGGUAAACUGCAUUCAUUUUAACUCA